CGGAACACGUACGCAACCUUCCCAAAACUGGUGAAUAGCCCUCCGAAAGGAGGAUUAAUACACCGUACCAUAAAGGAGAGGCAUCUUUCUUUUAUUAUAGAUAGCAAUAUCGGUUUUGGAUGGGCGUGCGCCUGAUUAGGUAGUUGGCGGGGUAACGGCCCACCAAGCCUCCGAUCAGUAACUGGUGUGAGAGCACGACCAGUCACACGGGCACUGAGACACGGGCCCGACUCCUACGGGAGGCAGCAGUAAGGAAUAUUGGUCAAUGGACGGAAGUCUGAACCAGCCAUGCCGCGUGAAGGAUGAAGGCCCUCUGGGUUGUAAACUUCUUUUAUCUGGGACGAAAAAAGGGGAUUCUUCCUCACUUGACGGUACCAGAGGAAUAAGCACCGGCUAACUCCGUGCCAGCAGCCGCGGUAAUACGGAGGGUGCAAGCGUUAUCCGGAUUUACUGGGUUUAAAGGGUGCGUAGGUGGGUAGGAAAGUCAGUGGUGAAAUCUUCAAGCUUAACUUGGAAACUGCCAUUGAUACUAUCUAUCUUGAAUACUUUGGAGGUAAGCGGAAUAUGUCAUGUAGCGGUGAAAUGCUUAGAUAUGACAUAGAACACCAAUUGGCGAGGCAGCUUACUACACAGUUAUUGACACUGAGGCACGAAAGCGUGGGGAUCAAACAGGAUUAGAUACCCUGG
rnacentral:rRNA from 1 species